GUGAGGAAUUUUCCGCAAUGGGCGAAAGCCUGACGGAGCAAUGCCACGUGAAGGAUGAAGGCCUAUGGGUUGUAAACUUCUUUUCUCAGAAAAGAAUUAUGACGGUAUCUGAGGAAUAAGCAUCGGCUAACUCUGUGCCAGCAGCCGCGGUAAGACAGAGGAUGCAAGCGUUAUCCGGAAUGAUUGGGCGUAAAGCGUCUGUAGGUUGUUUAAAAAGUAUUCUGUCAAAGAUUAGGGCUUAACCCUAGAUAGGCAGAAUAAACUUUUAAGCUAGAGUUUGGUAGAGGCAGAGGGAAUUCCCGGUGGAGCGGUGAAAUGCGUAGAUAUCGGGAGGAACACCAAAGGCGAAGGCACUCUGCUGGGCCAAUACUAACACUGAGAGACGAAAGCGAGGGGAGCAAAUGGGAUUAGAUACCCCGGUAGUCC
rnacentral:rRNA from 1 species